CUUUGCUUUCCUCUUAAGGAAAAAUGUUUAAAAUAGUUGUAUUGAGUAGAACAAGUUCUAAAAGAAUAGUUUGAGAUGUCCAAAAAGUAAAUUAGUUAGUUGAAAGGUGUCACAUCAAGUGUGAAAUAACACUACUUUGGACUUGUCUGUCUUGUUUUAGGGUGAAAACAUUGCCGCUAAGAAGGAGAAGUUUUCUCGGGACCAACUAGAAAGGGAAGCGGGUGUCUCCUCUUAGCUCAACUUAGAUGGUUGGUCCUAGUUAACUAUGCAAUAUCUUCAAAGGACGCAGAAGAAGUUUCCAAUAUCGAAUAAAGUUUUUGCUUUCGGGAUUAUCUACAUCGUCCCUACUUUAACAGGGCAUGUCACUACUUUAGCUUACAAAGGUAUGACCCUCGACAGGAAAGUGUGAAAAUUGAGAAUUAAGGUUGUGGGUUGACAGGUAGUCAAAAGUUUCUCCUUGUCUUACUAGUAGUAUUAGCACUAGUCUUGCAUUUUUCUA